GGGGCUUGGAGGCGGAUCCGGAGGUGGGCGGCGACGCGGGGGGCGAGGAAGGCCGGAGCGCGGCUUCCCGGGCGGAUCCAUGGCAGAGAAGAGACUGGGUGGUGAGGUUGAGAAGAAGGGAGAAAAGUGGGGCGGUGCGGCGACCCACGCAGGAGCUCGCCGGAGCCGGGUGACGAUGGACGGGCGCGGGAGACAGAAGGAUCCGGCGCGGCGGCGCGCACUCCUUGUAGUUGGAGGCGGGCCUUCAUGGCCACGGCGCCCCUCCCCCCGCGACAGCUCAGGCAGCGGUCAGAUCCGCCCUCCCUCCCUCCCUCACUCCUCGCACUGGAAGACCUAGCCGCUGGGCCAUGGUGACCGACGGCGAUGAUGACGGUGGUGGCUACCUCGACGAUGGAUAAAAUCCGCUCCGCCCCUCCUCUUAUCCGUCGACGACCGCUUGAAUCCCGAGAGGAGAGGAGAGGAGUGGGAGAUCCAUGGCGGCGGAAAGAUCCGCGCCUGGAUCGGACCUGCUCGUCAAGGAGACCCACGCCAUGGAGCUGCUCGUCAAUGUUCCACCCUGGCACACAUCCAACAUCGCCAUGGACCAGUAGCUCAAGCCGUCUUCUUCCAGAUGGUGAUGGGGUUCCCUCACCAUCUGCAGGUCAUCAUCCUUAAGGGCUCCACCAUCUGCAGUGUCUACAGUGGACUAUUUGCAUCUUCAGUGCAAAUACCUGAUUGUAUAUGGAUGGAUUGUAGGGUCUAACCGCCUUGAUUUGAUUCGGGCUGGAGCAGCAGCAGCAGGUCCUUCCUUCCAUGGAGGGCAUCCACAACAUGACCCGCACAAGGAGCUCCAAGCAGACAAAGCACAGGUUUCUUUGUUUGUAAAUUAAGCAGUCUGGUAGAUUUGGAAAGGAGGAACAGGGUACUGAACUUUUAUAUAUCUGCACAAGGUACCUUUCAAUUAAUAAGAUUUGUUUUUCUGUUCUGAAUAGGGUACUGAGCCUGAUAAUUGUACCUUUCUAUUCUGAAUUGCAUAUUUGUAGGAAUACUAUGUUAUGUAAGAACAUGGCGGUGCAGUCACCCGAGGUGAAGAAGCUCUGUCACCUACCUCUACAUCCUCCACUAGGCUGACAAGCACAACUGCUAACAAGUAUGCUAAUCCACCCUCAUCUGCAUCGCUUCCUCCUAGCCUGUGAUUUAUGACAUGGAGCAUGUUGUUCUGUUAUCAUAUACACGAAUCUGUCCAUGCUUAAAUGUGGUCAUAGGUUGUGGAAUAGGAGAAACAAUAUAAUGUUCUUUAGCAGAUGCAAACCUGUCCAUGCCUUAUUUGGACCAAUAAUUACUGGUGUUGCCUAUUUGAUAUGUAAACAUAUUUUUUUGGAUGUCUCAGAAAAAUGCCAUGCUACUACAUAAGUUUGAAUCAAACAAAUUAAAUUUGUAAUAAGAUCCCUGAAAGUAAUUAAGUGCUUCUUGAAUGCAUGGAAACAACAAGUUAGAUAUCUCAGAGGUACUAUGUCAUAUAUUCUGAAAGUGGCGCACAUGGAUAUGUAUUCUUGGUUAGCUUUAUGUUCCAUUUCUGUUGUACAUGCUCCAAGAGUUAAUG